rnacentral:rRNA from 1 species
GUGGGGAAUCUUCCGCAAUGGACGAAAGUCUGACGGAGCGACGCCGCGUGAGUGAAGAAGGCCUUCGGGUCGUAAAGCUCUGUCAUCAGGGACGAACGGCCGGUGGAGUGGAAAGCCACCGGAUUGACGGUACCUGAGAAGGAAGCCACGGCUAACUACGUGCCAGCAGCCGCGGUAAUACGUAGGUGGCAAGCGUUGUCCGGAAUUAUUUGGCGUAAAGCGCGCGCAGGUGGGAUCUUAAGUCCAUUUUUAAAGUUCGGAGCUCAACUCCGUGAUGGGAUGGAAACUGGGAUUCUUGAGUACCGGAGAGGAAAGCGGAAUUCCCCGUGUAGCGGUGAAAUGCGUAGAUAUGGGGAGGAACACCAGUGGCGAAGGCGGCUUUCUGGACGGUGUCUGACACUGAGGCGCGAAAGCCAGGGGAGCGAACGGGAUUAGAAACCCCGGUAGUCC